UUGUAACAUAUCAUAAAAUAAAUCAUAAAAAUGUAUUUUCUUGUAAUUAAUUAAAACCAUGAGGAGAUUAGUUAUAAUAGUUUGGUUAAUUUGGUAUAUUUAUCGUUUCGUAAGCAAAGUUCUCUUCUUUUUCAAACCAUUUAAUUAAUUAUAAAAGUUAGCAGCUUAAUGACACUUUAUUAUAACAAGUCAUUUUGGGUGGUAAUGAGUUUUGUUUGAUAAUAUUUUACAUAAUUCACCGUUAUUGACUUUAACGAGUCUAAUAAAACCCAGAUAGAUCUUAAUAAGCCCUAAUAGGUUAUAGGUUAGAGAUAAUGCAUCUUCUUUCAAACGUUUACAAACACAUCACGUCAAAUGUUAAAUCAGAUUUUCAACCAUUCUUUAAACACACCAGUUUUCUCGAGUGAGAGAAGCCCACUCCAUUCUAAUUGCUCUCGUUUAGAAUCUGAAUGACAAGGGGUGAACAUCAAAACAAAGAGCUCCUCCGAUGGGGCCAUCCCCCUUCUCCGAGUC
rnacentral:lncRNA from 1 species